GUGCAGAUUCUCUCGUCAGGAAGAAACUGUAGGAAAGCAUUUGGGCACUACGAGUGACAUAGUGCUUCACUUGGGAAGCCACAUCUCUGAGCAGCGCAGGACUACUGCAGAACCAGCGAGGGACAGCAGUAGGAGCCUGGGUGGACAGAGAGAUCCCACCAGGGGAGCAGCAUGAGGACAUCCUUUCACAGAGGCAGCAAAUGAAGAAAAGAAAAAGGAAGCCACCCCAGCACCUUCUUCCUUCUGCUUUGAUCAAGGCCAUGCAAAGAGUAUGAGAAGAACAUUGGCCGCAGAUCGGAAGACCAUCAUGAGUGCCAUGCACUCUUGUGACCACAUCCCUUCCUUUUCCACAGGCUGAAUGAGGCCCAUUUGCAUUCAAGACAGUUGUGGUUCUGGCCCACUGGAGCUGUGCAGCCACACGUGCUAUUUUCCAUCAGGCUGGAGGUGAGCAGUGACCCUGGUCCAUCUCACAAUCCCAGCUCAAAUGACAGACAUCGGUCCACCAUAGCUCUGUGCUCCUCUCUGAAGUAUGUGAUUGUGUUGACCUCUAGUGGCUGCAAGGAAGAGAGGGCCAGACCUCCAGGUGAAUGAAGCGUACAGAAUGUUACAGCUACGCUUGUUAGGGCGGCAUUCCAUAAAAACCACAACUCAUAUAUUCAUGUUCUCCUUGUCCUCUGUGAUAUAGAUUUUGUGAUCCUCCAUGACACGCUUUGGCCAUUUCACAUUCAUGAUGCACAGUCUUCUGCCUCUAGGAGCAUCUCCAGAGAGGCUGCUCAGGAGUCUGCCUUCACAGUGGGGGGAAUGGGAGCAGGCUGUCCCUGAGCAAAGCUCUCACGAGCCAUUGCAUUAGAAACAGGGAUUUGUAGAUUUGGGUGUUGCAUCCUUUAGGCAUGUUCUUCUUUUCUAGCCAAGGCAUAGAAAUUUUGAUUGGGCCAAGAAAAAUUCUGGCCAUUUCAAAUGAUUCUGUAACUCAACUCUAUGGAACAUUUUCUCUUUUCAGUUAAAAGUACCAUUUACUGGUUUUGCUGAUGAUACAGGUAAACCAAAAGGAUUGUUCUUGGUCCUGUGUGGAAGCAGCAGUUCUUCUGCACAGUCGUGGCCCCAAGGCAGCCCCUGAUGAUAGGUUUCUGGGCUGGAGGUCAGCCCUGUCCCUGUGCCUUCCAGUAGAGCCUGAGAAGACUGUCAAAAGUAGGCAGUUUAUCCCAACUGAAGCUCGAUAUUUAGCUGUAAUUGAAGCCAGUACUGAAAGCCUCUGUUUGGA